UCGGGUGUUUCUUGGGGGGACACAUCUGGUCGGACGGAUGUGGGCCCGUUUCGGGCAAUUGUUGUGUCCGUGGGGCCUUUGGGGUCCAAAACCCCGUUUGCUGCACUCGUCCAUGGGGGUGGGUGCCUCUGCAGCGACGUCUCGCUCCGGACCCUCUAAUUCGAACCCGGUGUGUAGUUUCAGCAUUCUGGCGGUUGGUGCUGUUGGAGGGGACUGCAGUGUACUUGUAUUGCUGCAGAGGCGGGUAUCUGAGCCGAAUGGUGUUUCUUUGAUCGGCCCUGUAAGUGUAUAAUUUCAACAUUCUAACGGUUAAUGCUGUUGGAAGGGACUGUGAUGUAUUUAUAUUGCUGCAGAUACAGGUAUCUAAACCGAAUAAUGUUUCUUUAAUCGGCCCUAUAAAAUGACCAAUUAAUUACGCAAUUUCCCUACAGAUUAAUUGAUCAAUAUUCUGUUUUCUGGUGUUUAUUGUGAUGACACAUCUAGUCAAACAGAUGUGAACCCGUUUC
rnacentral:lncRNA from 1 species